UGGGGAAUAUUGGACAAUGGGCGAAAGCCUGAUCCAGCAAUGCCGCGUGUGUGAAGAAGGUCUUCGGAUUGUAAAGCACUUUCGACGGGGACGAUGAUGACGGUACCCGUAGAAGAAGCCCCGGNUAACUUCGUGCUAG
rnacentral:rRNA from 1 species